UUAUUACAUAAAAGGCUACAUUUUUUUACAAGGAUAACAAAAAAAUCCCUUUGAAAAAAAAAAAGUCCCUCUUUUCAUUUCUGUUACUUUCACAGAGCUGAAAGUAAAGAACAGAAAAGAAACCCCAAACCUCAAAAUUUUCUCUUUCUCACGUUGAUAGAAGGAUUUAAGCUAGAAAGGCAAAGAUAUGAAAUAAUUUCGUGUUUUUUGUUUAUAAAUAUUUUGUUGGGUUUUCAAUUCUUUUUUCGCCAUUUCUUUUGCAUGUUGAUGAUCUUUGGUGGCUUUAACUCGGUACUUGGACUCACUUCAAACUCACUUCCGCUAAUACUUCUUCGGGUUUCACAUGGCUAGCAACCCCAACGAGGCUUCCCCUGAUGAUUUCCUCGAGCAAAUCCUCGGAUUCCCUAACUUCGCGCCUUCUGAGACGGGUUUGGCGGGACCCGACGGUGGACUGGCAGGAACAACUGCUGGUGCCGGAACGCCAAUGUUUCUACAACUCAGCUCUGGCGAUGGAGCCAGUCAUCUCGGCGGAAUCGGCGGCGGUGGAGGCGGCGCGUUUCCCGGUCAGGUUUUUCCGUUGGGGUUGAGCUUAGACCAAGGGAAAAGCGGCGGGUUCUUGAAGCCGGAGGAAGGUUCUGGUGGUAGCAGCAGGCGGUUUCGCGAUGAAGUCGUUGAUGGCAGGGCUUCCUCAGUUAAAAACGUUUUCCAUGGUUCACCAAUGCCGGCUACCGUUGCUCCAUCACCGCAUCCACCAACAAUGCGUCCAAGGGUGCGGGCUAGACGAGGACAGGCCACGGAUCCGCAUAGCAUUGCUGAACGGUUGCGGAGGGAAAGAAUUGCUGAAAGAAUCCGAGCAUUACAGGAACUUGUUCCUAGUGUUAACAAGACUGAUAGAGCGGUCAUGCUCGAUGAAAUUGUAGAUUAUGUCAAGUUCCUGAGGCUCCAAGUUAAGGUUUUGAGUAUGAGUAGGUUAGGCGGGGCGGGGGCAGUGGCACCGCUUGUUACAGACAUCCCAUUAUCAUCAGUCGAGGACGAAAGCGGUGACAGUGGAAGGAACCAACCGGCAUGGGAGAAAUGGUCAAACGACGGCACCGAGCGACAAGUAGCCAAGCUCAUGGAAGAAAACGUAGGAGCUGCCAUGCAAUUCCUUCAAUCAAAAGCUCUUUGCAUUAUGCCAAUCUCACUAGCCACCGCCAUCUACCACUCGCAACCACCGGAUACCUCUUCUAUCAUCAAGCCCGAAACAGAUCCCCCUCCAUAACCCUAACAAACAAAAAAUAAGGGUAUGCAUCCCACACAGUCCAUCCUAUAUGUCCUACACUAUGAGGAAAAAAAAAAGGAAGGGGGGCCUUCAUGUCCGGAUUUGUCAAUGGUGAUCUCUUUUGUAUUCAAUGGUGGGGGUAGUGGAUAAUGAUGGAAGAAGAGGGCACUCUCAUAGUGGGGACUUUAAAUUUUUUUGUUAGUGGGAUUGUUAGACCUGCAAAUAUAUAUAUAUAUAUAUAUGUGUGUGUGUAAUAAUAUUGUAAGAAGGUAUUUUGGAAGAGGAAUUGCAGUAAAAGGUAGAAGAAUGAGGGUGAUGUCUGCCCAUUAAAAAAAUGGUUGUUGCUUUGAAGUCCAACUGAUACUUCGUGAUAAUGGACUUUGUAACUUUGUUCCUAUAAAGUAAUUUGACUAAA